rnacentral:lncRNA from 1 species
CAUUAAACAGUGACAGUUUAUGCCUUUGGUUAUUUGGGAACCUCAUCUGGUAUAGAAUAAUUCAAAUCCAUUUAUUAAGAGACCAUUUAUUUUUCAUGCCAGGGAGAGAGCAGGAGCUCGUAAGGUUGGAGCCAAUGGAUCUUUGAAGAAUGGAGCUGGCAAAAUGGGGAGACAGGGCUAUUUCUGAUGCAAGCCACAGAAAUCUACACAAAUGAACUGAAGCAAAACUAGGUGUGUGUGGGAAUUUAAAGCAGAAGAGUGGCUAGGCCACGUGGAGGCUUGGAAAAGUAUCAGAAAACUUGCCAGAGGGGCUGGCCCCGUGGCUGAGCGGUUAAGUUCGCGCGCUCCGCUGCAGGCGGCCCAGUGUUUCUUUGGUUCGAAUCCUGGGCGUGGACAUGACACUGCUCAUCAAACCACGCUGAGGCAGCGUCCCACAUGCCACAACUAGAAGGACCCAC